GAGGACCCUGUGAUGACAUCAAACCCACCAGGUGAUCCAGGCUCAUCUCUCCAACUCAAAAGAUCCUCAGCUUAAUCACACCUGCAAAGUCCCUUGGCCCUGCAGGAUCACAUCUGUACAGGUGGGGAGAAGGGCAUAGGUAUCUUGGACGUUAUUCUGCGGGGCACAACCCGGCCCUGCUGGGGAGUUCUUUCAGAAAGCCUGGAGGCUUGAGCAUAUGGCGAGGGCCUACGGGCGGGUGCUGGGGACGCAGAACCACGCCUCUGAGAAGGUGCUUCUGGAGAAAGCGCCAGCACGGGGAGGCUCAGCUGGCGGGAGUGCCUCCUCAGUCAGAGCCAAGCGCGUCUUCUCUGAACCAGGGAGCAACGCCACUGGAGACCACAAGUGCAGGGAGAGGAGCCCGGAUGACAGGGGCAGUUCUGGGGGCCUGGCAUCUUCUGGGAGCCCUGUGCCGGCAGGGCCCAUGCCGCUGUGCCGGAGACAGCCCAGUUGACCCCAUGGCCACUGAGCAGUCAUCAAAGUGGGGGCCUGCCAGGAACUCCCCUCCCUCCGUCUGUCCUGGUCCGCCUCGGCCACGCUGACAGCCUUUCCUCACAGAGGUCUGGGUUUUCUCGGAACCUCACGAUCAUUUCAAACUGUAUCUGUGACUUCUCAACCCAGGUACCUAAAAAUCAACGUCCUCCACGGCGGCUUGAUCUCUAAUCUGAUAUCUCAUGUGUUGCAGGCAUGAUGUCCACCCAGGCCCAUGGAGCCUCCCCAUCAGCACUCCAGUUGGCCACAGGCAGGUUGUAGGCCAAGCUCGUGGGGCCUGGCAUCCUCACUGUGCCUAGGGAACGUUCCCAUCAGCUUGGGCACACACGUGUCUUUUCUGGGGAGAACUUGUAGACCAACAAGCUGUCUCUUGGUUCUGCACUGUGUGAGCUUGCAAGAGAAGCGAUGCAGGUCAAGUGAAACUACUUUUAUCCUUUUCAAUGCAUUAUUUCUCAUUUCUGUGCUCCAUCAAGAUGGUACUCUCACCUGCAUGCCGGAGCUCUUAUAAAGAAUUGCUUUGGCUAGUCUGGGCGCUUGCAUUUCCAUAUGGAUCGUAAGAUCAGCCUGUCAGUGUCUGCAAAACCCAGCUGGGAUUUUCGUAGAUAUUGCAUUGAAUCUGUAUCUAUUUGGGGAGUGUAGCCAUUUUAACAAUAUUAGCACUUACAAUCUCUGAACUUGGGGUAGUUUUCCAUUUAUUUAAGACUUCAUUCAUUUCUUUCAAUAUUUUAUAGUUUUCUGUGUAUUAUCCUUAUACUUCUCUUGUUAAAUUCAUUCCUAUGCAUUUUAUCCUUUUUGCUACUAUUGCAAGUGAAUCAUUUUCUUAAUUUCAUUUUUUGUUUGUUCAAUGCUAUUGUAAAGAAAUAAAAUUGAUUUCUGCAUAUUCAUUUUGUAUCCUGCUACCUCGCCAAAUGUAUUUAUUAGGUCUAAUUGUGUGCGUGUGUAUGUGUGUGUGUGUUCUGUAGGAUUUUCCAUAUAUAAGAGUAUAUCAUUUGUAAAUAGAGAUUUUAUUCCUUGAAAAUCUGAAUGCCUUUAUUUCUGUUUCUUGCUUAAUUUCUCUGGCUAAAACCUUUAGUGUAACGUUGAGUAGAAGUGGAGACAGUGGGCAUCCUUGUCUUCUUCCUGACCCUAGAGAGAAAGCUUUCAGUUUUUCACUAUUCAACAUGACAGUUGUUGUGGGAUUUUUCUAGAUGCCAUUUAUUAGCUUGAGAAAGUUGUCUUGUAUUCCAAGUUUAUUAAGUGAAACAACAUAUAAAGGGGUUAUGAAAUGGUGUUAGAAUUUUGUCAUUCUUUUUUGUAUCUAUCAAGAUGAUCAUGUAUUUUUUAUUCUUUAUUCUAUGAAUAUGGUGUAUUACAUUGAUCGACUCUUGGAUGUUAAAGCAACCUGGCAGUCCUGGGAUGAAUCUUACUUUUUCAUAAUGUAUACAAAUUUUUCUAUGUUUCUAGAAUGGCUUUGCUAGUGUUUUGUAGAGAAUGUUUGCAUUUUUGUCAUAAGAGAUAUUGAUCUGUGGUUUUAUUGGCUUGUGAUGUUUUUGUCGGGCUAUGGUAUAAGGGUAAUUAAUAUAAAAUAAAUUAGGAGAUAUUUGUUCUUCUAUUUUUAAAAGACUUUGUAAAUGGUGUUAAUGCUUCUUUAAGAAGCCACCUGAUCCUGGGCCUUUCUUUGUGGCAAAUAUAAUGUUGUUGUUAUUAUUAUGAAUUUAAUCUCUUUAUUUAGUAUAUAUUCAACAUUUUUAUUGUUACUGAGUUGGUUUCAAUAGCUCAUGUCUUUUUUUUUUUUUUGAGAUGGUCUCUCACUGUGUCGCCCAAGCUGGAGUGUAAUAGCGCGAUCUCGGCUCACUGCAGCCUCUGCCUCCUGGGUUCAAGCGAUUCUCCUGCCUCAGCCUGCCAAGUAGCUGGGAUUACAGGUGCCCACUACUACGCCCGGCUAAUUUUUGUAUUUUUAGUAGAGACGGAGUUUCACUAUGUUGGCCAGGCUGGUCUUGAACUGACGUCAGGUAAUCUGCCGGCUUGGGACUUCCACAGUGCCAGGAUUACAGGAGUGAGCCACCGCUCCUGGCCAGUAGUUCACAUCUUUAUAGGAAUUUGUACAUUUUUUCUAGGUUACCAAAUUUGCAGGCAUAUGACUAUUGUAUUUCCUUAUCUUUCUUAUUUUUGUAAAAUUGAUACUAAUAUCCCUUCUUCCGUUUCCAAUUUUAGUAACUUAAGUCUUUUUUUUUCCUUGAUGAGUCUAGCUAAAGGUUGGUCAGUGUUGUCAGUCUUUCAAAGAACCAACAUUUGGCUUCACUGACUUUCUCUUACUUUUCUAUUCUCUGUUUCAUUAAUUUCACCUCUAAUCUAGAUGAUGUGCUUUCUUAUUCUUGCUCUGGGUUUCAUUUACUUAGUUUCUUAAAAUUGAAGUUUAGGUUAUUGACGUAAGACCCUCCUUCUUUUUUAACAUCAACAUUUAUAACCGUAAGUUUGCCUCUAAGUGCUGAACUGCAUCCCAUGAGUUUCAGAGUGCCUCAACACACACACACACACACACACGCACACACACGGACACAUACACACAUACACACAGCACACACACACACACACACACACACACAGAGCUCCUUGGCAAAGACUGAGAGAGCACAUUCUAGUAUUAAAAUGUCCAGCCAGGCAGUUCUGCCUUAGCCUUUACUUCUUUUUUUGAGACAGACUCUCGCUCUGUCGCCCAGGCUGGAGUGCAUUGGUGUGAUCUUGGCUCACUACAACCUCCGCCUCCCGGGUUCAAGCAAUUCUCCUGCCUCAGCCUCCCCAGUAGCUGGGAUUACAGGCACCUGCUACCACGCCCAGAGAAUCUUUUAUGUUUAGUAGAGAUGAGUUUUCACCAUAUUGGCCAAGCUGGUCUCGAACUGUUGACCUCAGGUGAUCCCCCGGCCUUGGCCUCUCAAAGUGCUGAGCCUUUACUUCUUACUUCUUUAGAGCCUCAAGACCAGCCAGAGGUAGAAGUGAGAGCUCAGGCCUUUCCUGAACAUGCACGUGGCCGUCUAGAUUCCCGGAAAGAUGUUGGUUCGCAGCUCCUGUAGACAUAUCAUUCCCCAGCUUUUUAAUUUGAAACUUGUUGGCUACCUUAUUGUUUCUCAAACUCUUAUCCUCUGCUUUGGUUACCAUGAAGCUAAACAUUUG
rnacentral:lncRNA from 1 species